rnacentral:rRNA from 1 species
UACGGGGGGGCAAGCGUUGUUCGGAAUUACUGGGCGUAAAGGGCUCGUAGGCGGCCAACUAAGUCAGACGUGAAAUCCCUCGGCUUAACCGGGGAACUGCAUCUGAUACUGGAUGGCUUGAGUUCGGGAGAGGGAUGCGGAAUUCCAGGUGUAGCGGUGAAAUGCGUAGAUAUCUGGAGGAACACCGGUGGCGAAGGCGGCAAUCCUGGACCG